rnacentral:rRNA from 1 species
AGGACGAACGCUGGCGGCGUGCUUAACACAUGCAAGUCGAGCGGAAAGGACCCUUCGGGGUACUCGAGCGGCGAACGGGUGAGUAACACGUGAGUAAUCUGCCCCUAGCUCUGGGAUAGGCUCCGGGAAACCGGGAUUAAUACCGGAUAUGACCACUUUAGACAUCUGUUGUGGUGGAAAGAAUUUCGGCUAGGGAUGGAGCUCGCGGCCUAUCAGCUUGGUUGGUGGGGUAACGGCCUACCAAGGCGACGACGGGUAGCCGGCCUGAGAGGGCGACCGGCCACACUGGGACUGAGACACGGCCCAGACUCCUACGGGAGGCAGCAGUGGGGAAUAUUGCGCAAUGGGCGAAAGCCUGACGCAGCGACGCCGCGUGGGGGAUGAAGGCCUUCGGGUUGUAAACCCUUUCAGCAGGACGAAGCGAAAGUGACGGUACCUGCAGAAGAAGCGCCGGCUAACUACGUGCCAGCAGCCGC